CAAGCUUUUGAUUUUCUGUCUGGUCUAUUUUCUAUUUGCAAUGUUGCACCCUCUUUUCAUUUCUUGUGAAUAUUUUUUUUGUUUGGUCAGUAUUGCACCUGGUUAUCUACAGAGGAAGGCAAGGAUAACUAGAUUAAACAUUUCACAAGACCCUCCCAAUUACAGGCACAAACUCCUUUCAAGAUAUUACAAGUGUGGUUGAUUACGGGAGAUUGUCAGAUGAAAAGAAGGUAUUUCCUUUAUAUUUAUCUAGAUGUUUAAUUAGCUGCACAACCAUACGUGAUUCUAGAAGGAAACUAUUUAUCCUGAUGAUCUUGAUAUCCAGUCGUGUAUUACAGUAUUAGUAUAGGCUCUAAUUUUUGGCUAGGAAUCUAUAUAUACAGUCAUGUAUGAAUGGGCUAUGAUUCUUUUCUCCUUCUGAAUAGAUUCUUUUUUUUGUUCACUCCCUAUGAAAUAAUUUCAGAGCUACUGUGAUGUAGUAAUUAUUUGGCACAUCCAUAACUCAACCAGUUUAUGCGUGAUGAUUUAGUGCGUAUUUGGUUCCAAAGUGAAAAAACUAUUGGCCUUCGCUAGGCAAGGAUAAGUGUUUGGUACCAAAUGAAAAAUUAACUUUGUCAAGCUAACUAGCACGCAUGGGUCUGAAGCAGCUACUUUUUAUAUCCCUGGACUAUAGAUAUUACAUGCAUCAGUACUUGAUGCAUCUCUGAUAUGCUUUUGCUAUUUAUUGUGGCCCUUAAUUACUACUCUGAUGUGAACCCAGUGUUUAGGUUGCAGGCUCAAUUGUAUAUCCAUGGAUGUUACCCAUAUGGCAAUCUAUAAUUCUAUAUGAAUUUUGUAGCUAGCUUAAAGCGAAUGUGGUGAUCAAGGCUCUAAUCUACAUUCUUUAUUUGCAUGAAUGUCGUGUGCAGAUAGGUACUAACCAUGGAAUAUUUUCCUCAUUGACGACAAGUACUCCGAUACCAAUUUAUAAAAAUUGAUAUAAUUUC
rnacentral:lncRNA from 1 species